UACGUAGGGUGCGAGCGUUGUCCGGAAUUAUUGGGCGUAAAGGGCGCGUAGGCGGCCUGGCAAGUGGAUGGUGAAAUCCCUCGGCUUAACCGAGGAACUGCCAUCCAGACUGCUUGGCUUGAGACCGGGAGAGGUGAGUGGAAUUCCCAGUGUAGCGGUGAAAUGCGUAGAUAUUGGGAGGAACACCAGUGGCGAAGGCGGCUCACUGGACCGGUACUGACGCUGAUGCGCGAAAGCGUGGGGAGCAAACGGG
rnacentral:rRNA from 1 species